CUUUUGCUUCCCUGUUCACUACCUCCACAUAGUCCAUUGCAAGGACAAAGCACAGAGACCCUGCAUGAAGAGUGAAGCUGGGGUAGGGUGGAGAGGGGGAAGAGCAUCUGUAACCUGCUCCCCAUUUGAUGUUCUCCUAACAUAGAUCUCCUUCAGUUUUGUUUUCUAGGCAUUCUCCUGGCUUCAGAGGACUCACCAGACAAUGAUUUAUGGUCUUAUGCUGUGCAGUGUGAGAAACGUAUUUUUGCUGUAAUGGGUGGAAACCUGGAUCUCCACUGCUGCUCAGGGUUUGCCUUUUUAUCUGCACUGUGUGGUUCAUGAAAACUGAAAUUCUCAGCUCUGUUUCAAAAAAAAAGAAAAGAAAAGAAAACACAUUUCACAGCAGACUCUUCCUUCUUCAUCACAUAUGGUCAGUGAUAGUCGCCUUGCUGAGAUCUGUUCAACUCCCAGUAUGUUUUAAGAAGUUAUGUACUAAAAAAGGCAUAUGGCCAAAGCCUCUUGGCUUGCAAUUUUUACUGUGUCAAUAUGAAGCAGAGCAGUGGCAUUGUAACCACUUUCCAGUGUGAGCUUAUCUUCAGGAUUUUGUUUUCUUCUGAGGCAUUGACCUUUCUAUUAUCAGCCCUGCUGAAGGGAAGGAGUGCAACCAUGUCUUGUCUGUAUCAUGUUGUUUAUGGUUUAUAUGUGGCUCAAAUUUCUGUCAGAAACUUCGUUGUGAUUUUACUGCCUGGUUUUACAUUCUGCCUGUGAUGUACUAAUUAUUGGGGUGUGACAGAGCACUUAUUUCCUAUCAUAAACCAGGGGCUGUUAUCCAGGAAUGAAAUUUUGCUCAAGUCAUGAAAGGAUGUAACAAUCUGAAAUAUUCUCCAAGGGCCAUAUUCUGAUCCUGUUGACAUUGAUGGAAAUGUUACUUUUGUGUUCACUGUGAU
rnacentral:lncRNA from 1 species